rnacentral:rRNA from 1 species
AACGAACGCUGGCGGCGUGCUUAACACAUGCAAGUCGAGCGGUAAGGCCCUUCGGGGUACACGAGCGGCGAACGGGUGAGUAACACGUGGGUGACCUGCCCCCUACUCUGGGAUAAGCCUGGGAAACUGGGUCUAAUACCGGAUAUGACUACUGGUUGCAUGACUGGUGGUGGAAAGUUCUUCGGUGGGGGAUGGGCCCGCGGCCUAUCAGCUUGUUGGUGGGGUGAUGGCCUACCAAGGCGACGACGGGUAGCCGGCCCGAGAGGGCGACCGGCCACACUGGGACUGAGACACGGCCCAGACUCCUACGGGAGGCAGCAGUGGGGAAUAUUGCGCAAUGGGCGGAAGCCUGACGCAGCGACGCCGCGUGGGAGAUCACGGCCUUCGGGUUGUAAACCUCUUUCGGCCCCGACGAAGCGUGAGUGACGGUAGGGGUAGAAGAAGCACCGGCCAACUACGUGCCAGCAGCCGCGGUAACACGUAGGGUGCGAGCGUUGUCCGGAAUUAUUGGGCGUAAAGAGCUCGUAGGCGGUGUGUCGCGUCGGCCGUGAAAACCUGCAGCUUAACUGUGGGCUUGCGGUCGAUACGGGCAUCACUGGAGUUCGGCAGGGGAGACUGGAAUUCCUGGUGUAGCGGUGAAGUGCGCAGAUAUCAGGAGGAACACCGGUGGCGAAGGCGGGUCUCUGGGCCGAUACUGACGCUGAGGAGCGAAAGCGUGGGGAGCGAACGAUUAGAUACCCUGGUAGUCCACGCCGUAAACGGUGGGCGCUAGGUGUGGGGGCCAUUCCACGGUCUCUGUGCCGUAGCUAACGCAUUAAGCGCCCCGCCUGGGGAGUACGGCCCGCAAGGCUAAA